AAAAGAUAAUAUCCGUAAGGAUAUCAAGGACCCUCCAGACUCGCUCGAGCUCGGCUCGUUGACAGCCCUCCCGGAGCCGCUCAGGGCCUCAGGAAGAUGGGUACAUCUUAUGUAGUUAUGUGCCUUUACUGUGUUAGUGGAAAGGUGGAGUAGCAAUAACAAAUGUGCUGAUCUUUGGCAGCAUAACAGGGUUUGUACCAUGAAAAUGAUAUAUGUGUGUAUGUUGUUUCUGGUAAUUUGGAUUCUUUGAUCUGUUUGUCACCUUUAAGGAGUUUUUUCCCUCGAUGGAACAAAAGGAACAAUUAACUGUGUACUAUGUACCUUGGAUGGAAGAUUGGAUUGUAUUCCCCAAUUAAAAUUUCCUUACUAAUUAAUUGGUUCAGGUCAGAUAAGGAAUAUGACAGGCCUGGCCUUUGUA